AUUAUUUAUUAAUGGUAUCCGAUCCAUAAAUGGCUUAAAUUAUAUGCCUGGUAACGUUAUCCUUUUUGGCUGUUUUAUGAAAGUUUACCAUUUGGCAGUUUGAAAAAUGCAAAUAUUAAGGAGCAUAACUCAACUGGGGAGAUAACUCUUACAAUUCUUUCCUUUACAUGAAAAUGUGACAUAAAUAAACUAAAAAUAGCCAAAGUUUAUAUUUCAAAAUUUUAUU
rnacentral:lncRNA from 1 species